GAGUUUUGAUCAUGGCUCAGGACGAACGCUGGCGGCGCGCCUAACACAUGCAAGUCGAACGGAGCUGAGAGGAGCUUGCUUUUCUUAGCUUAGUGGCGAACGGGUGAGUAACGCGUGAGUAACCUGCCCUGGAGUGGGGGACAACAGUUGGAAACGACUGCUAAUACCGCAUAAGCCCACGGAUCCGCAUGGAUCUGCGGGAAAAGGAUUUAUUCGCUUCAGGAUGGACUCGCGUCCAAUUAGCUAG
rnacentral:rRNA from 1 species